ensembl:lncRNA
CGGCUCUUUAGGCCCAGCGAAUGACUUCUGUUUUACGGAUAGGAGGGAUGGGUGCCCGUGACUGCCGGAGGGCACGCAGCUGGCCGGCCUCUGUUGACCAUGACGCAGCUGUAUUCACUCCUAUGCCCCUCCUAGCCUUCUCAGCGUGGUUCCUUGUUGAGUUUCAAAGAGGCUCAUGGGACAUAAUCUAAACACAGCCCUCAACACCCUGAUCCCCCGCCCUCACCUCCUGACCUGUCAAGCCUGCAGCUUCAUAAUCGUGAGAUGAAGCAGAGCAAGAAUAUCGGCUACAGACUGGAUGAGAUCCUCCUGGUAAACACCUAAUCAGCCCUCCCAACCUCAGCAUCACGCCUUCGGCAGCGUGAUCUCCCAGGUUCUUCUCCAACCACGGCGUGCCAUGUCUCCUGCAUCUGCUUUUCCCACCAGGCCUUGCAGGCUCUCUCCGCAGGGACCUUGAUGUGUUUCCGACGCCUCCCCACGAGGAGACAUGCUUCUGGUAUCUUCCUUCCUCAGGUAUUGUUCUCUUCCUCUUCCCACUCUCGGGGUCUUCAAGCAUUGUCAUUACUUG